CGGCGUGCUUAACACAUGCAAAGUCGAACGAGUAACGGGUUAUAGCUUGCUAUAAUUGUCAGCUAAGUGGCGCACGGGUGAGUAAUGUAUAGGUAAUAUGCCUCUUACUAAGGGAUAACAAAUGGAAACGUUUGCUAAUACCUUAUACUCCUUAUUAACUAAAGUUAGUAACGGGAAAGAUUUAUUGGUAAGAGAUUAGCCUGUAUUGUAUCAGUUAGUUGGUGGGGUAAUGGCCUACCAAGACUAUGACGCAUAACUGGUUUGAGAGGAUGAUCAGUCACACUGGAACUGAGACACGGUCCAGACUCCUACGGGAGGCAGCAGUGGGGAAUAUUGCACAAUGGACGAAAGUCUGAUGCAGCAACGCCGCGUGGAGGAUGACACAUUUCGGUGCGUAAACUCCUUUUAUAUAAGAAGAUAAUGACGGUAUUAUAUGAAUAAGCACCGGCUAACUCCGUG
rnacentral:rRNA from 1 species